GAACGCUUGAAGUCAGUCGCGUUGUCCGGGACUCAGCCUUGCUUCGGCUUGGUGCACUUCCCGGAUGACGGGCCAGCAUUCGAUUUUGACCGCUGGAAAAGGGCUGGAGGAAUGUGGCACCUUCGGGUGUGUUAUAGCCUUCAGUCGCAUACGGCGGUUGGGAUCGAGGAACGCAGCACGCCUUUAUGGC
rnacentral:rRNA from 1 species